AAGCACAAACAGUGAAGUACCGCCACCGGUCGACAGGGGCAGCACUUAAAAAAGACGGAAGAAUUGUAAACCGGAAGAUAACGUGUCCUCCCAGAGAGCACUCGGCGUCACACAUUUCAGUGUUUGAAGAGAGGAUCAAGAUACAGAUUUAAGACAAAAGUCAUCAAUUACGAUCGUUUAAAUAGCUUGCCCAGAGCACAGCAUCUCGUGCACAGCAUGAAGUUUUCAGCUAUCAAUAUUUCUAGAGGCUCCAGAAUGAAAACCAAGCCCUGCACUGCAAAAAUGAAAGUCUUGCUUGGUUUUCUUUUGUCUUGUUUUCUAAUAUUAGUAUCUGAAAAUUCUUAAAUUGAGACACUGACUUUGUAAGCAAGUGGCUUAAGAUAUUAAGUUUUGUUUAUUGAAAUAAAUUAUGAAAAUCGGGAGUUUUUUGUUACUUAAAACAAGUAAAAAAAUUGCCUGUGCAGUAAGAAAAAUAAACUAAAUUCCAGUUUUUAACUUAAUCAACUUAAAUUAAGUUUAUUUUUCUUACUGCAUUGGCAGAUAUUUUGACUUGUUUUAAGUAAAAAGAAAAACUCUUGAUUUUUAUCAUUUAUUUCAAUAACAAGACUUAAUAUCUUAAGCCACUUGCUUACCAAGUCAAUGUAUCUCAAUUUGAGAAUUUUUAGAUAUUUAUAUUAGAAAACAAGACAAAAAACUAGGUAAGACAAUCAUUUUUUGCAGUGUGAGGGUGAAGAACCAAGCCCUGAGGGAACGUAGUGAACGAGCAGCUUCGGAUGACAGCGGCUUACAUUUAAUGUUGCUUGACAACACUUUGAGGCAGGAUAAAAUGCUCCAGGAACAAGUUCUUUAGAGUAUCUUCUCUAAUCACCUUUCAAUUAAUACAACCUGGACUGGUGUAGGGAAUCAAGCAUGUUUUAGAGACCUGUUUCUGAAGACCAUUGUUCAAAGAGCCAUCCGAAAGAACCCGGCAACCCAGGAUGCCACUGAUGGGGCUGUCCAGGUUAAUGUUACGCGUAACCUGAAAGGAGCAUGUGACCGUGAAGGCGGAUAAAGGCGGCACACAGCUGAGAGGGACCCACAGCUGACCCCUUAAACCGAGGCUGACUACUGACACCCCAGCAUCACUGACAACUGGAACCCUUUCUUUAUCCUGCAGUCAGUAACAUCAAGAAGCCUGAAGUGUGACAGUACACUCAACCAAUCCACACUUCACUGUGAAAAUUACUUUUCUUUUUUUCCAAAUUCCCUGGGACCCUGCCUUGAUGGCAGCUCCUCGGAAAGAUAUGGAAUGGCGAGAAGGUUUGUCCUUUAUACAGGUGCACGAGAUAAAGUACUGAUCAUAAGCGCCUCAUGCUUAUACAUUACAUUCAUGUGGAUCUUUUUUAAUGUCUUUAGUGUCUUUUACUGUUUUUUUUGUCAUGUGGAUUUGUUUUUUUUAAUCAUUCUGUUUAUGUUGAUGCGUGUUGUGUUAUAAGCUACUGGGACCUUGAAUUUCCCAUUGAGGAUCAAUAAAGUAUCUGUUCAUUUUUCAUUCACAAGAGACAGAUCAUAUUGCAGCAAAGUAAAAAUAUUGUGUCCCAGGUCAGCAAUGCCAUUAUAAUAGUCUAUUUUAGUCCAGAGCUUUACUCUAAAUCAGUGGUUCUCAAUCCUGUUCCUGGGGACCCACUGCUUUGCACAUUUUGUAUGUAUUCCUUAUCUAACACACCUGACUCUAAUCAUCAUCUCAUUAGCUGAGAGCUCCAUGAACUAAGCACAGUGUGUCAGGUUAGACAGACAUACAAAAUGUGCAGAGCAGGGGGUCCCCAGGAACAGGAUUGAGAACCACUGCUCUAAAUGAUUAACACUUAUCCUAUUGUUAGAAAUGACUAUUAUUUGGUAUGCUGGCCAUUCUUUGGUACCAAAUAUCCUCAUUACUUAAUAUAAUGUUUACUGGUAGCCUAAUUAUUUUCAUCUUAGAGCUGACCUCUAAAUUAUUAACAAUUGUUGAAAAUGUUCUAAUUUGCUUGUAAUGUUUUUUUUUUAAACUAGAAUUUAUUUGAAAACCUGUAUGUUUUUUAGUACUUUUUUUUAUUUUUCAGUUAUUUAUAUUUUAGUGCUCUUACACAUCUUAGUUCAAUGACUGUUAAUGUACUUUGAAAUGUGGAAUAAAAACUCCAAAUGAGAAUUUGUCUGAUUU